UAAGAAAUCCCGUGAGAUUACACAUACCACCUCUAUGGGCCAAACACAACACAUGGGACUGGAAUAAAUUGCUCAAAGCAACAGAAAUUACCAUAGGCUAAGCAGCACUGAUUGCCAAGGAAACAGAGGAAAUAUUAAUUGGGAUUUACAGCUGUCCCUCGUGUCCCCCAAGGAGAUAAAAGGCAUUCAUUGUCCAGAUGUGAUAUGCUGACACAAGGAGCCUCCCAGAUGUGAUAUGAUGACACCAGGAGCCGCCAUCUGGCACAGAUGUGGUUUCACCACCACAGCAGUAACAUUCUCCAAAUGUCUAAAUGGGAACUAUCACAGAGUCCACAAGGAAAAGGCAUCUGUAUCCAUACCUUGGGAUAAAUUCUAAACACUAAAAAUCUCUCAUUCACUCAUCACUGGGAUCAUCUGGCCUGACUUUACCUCUCCUGAAGUAUUCAGUGGAAAAACACAAGUCUUAAAAAAAAGAAAAAGACCUUCCUAAGACUUUCAAUGGAAGUUUUGAGUUGGUCUGUCAACAGGAAGAGAUUUAACAAACAAAUAUGGAGUCUUUACCCUCAAGGAAAUUAUGACCCAGUAACUGGGAGAAUGAGUAAGUAUACAGCAACAAAGACUGUAAGACAACAACAGGACUCCCAUGGUCCUUUCAUAGACACCUUCUGCUUCCCCCUGCUUCCUGUAACCUCCCCAGUGCUCCUGUGUCCUGUGUUCCUGAGGACACCAUCAUGAUUGGGCUGGAGAUAGUCAGUCUGUUUGUCUAGUGUCAGAUGGAACUGAUAAAAUGACUGUGAACACUGAGGUAAUUUUUGGUUAGUCUGUUUGUUUGUUUAAUCUCACAUGGGACUUACAAACGAUGGUGAGGAUGGAAGUCAUUUUAAAAGCAUGCCUCUGGCCUUUCCUACUGACCUUCAAAGAGAUCACUAAAAAAUGCACCCAGAAUGGCAUUCUAAUUAACAUUCAGGAUCAUAUGCUUAGUAUCUCUCUGGGGGAGUCAUGAAUUUAAUUUUUUUCUGAAUAAAUAAAUAGCAAUAAAACCGCACAAAAACAAAACAGCUUUCCAAUGUUGCCCUGACCUGCUUAUUUUAGCCUUUUAAUUCCAUGUUAAACUAAGUAGUAAACAAACUUUUCUAAAGUUGCUUCCUCUCUCAUGACCAUCGCUGACGCAGACAUCGGCCAGGAGGGAGGCCUCCAAGGAUUACGCUGCAAGCAUUAGACGCAACUUGGCAGCCACUUGUAAACUCCAAAAAGGGUAAAUCAAGUAUCAGCAAGCAGUUGCAAAGCUGAAUUGCUUCCUCUCUCCCAGUUUCUCACAAGACGAUCCGACUCCAGCUUCCCCUCUCCCAACAGCAGCCGGCUCUGAAGGAAGUCUGCUCUCUCUCACUGGCUUCUAUUUAGGACCAACUGCUUAUAUUAUUUUCCUCAAGCCUAUUAAUAACUUA